GGCGUUUGGUGGUAGGUCGGCAUGGCAAUGGUAGUAGUUGAUUCGCUUUUCAAGUUUUCUCGCUCUUGCUUCAGUUUCGCCCAUUUACAUUGCGUACCGGUGAAGAAGGCUGAUGUGGCCAUUUGGUGAUGGCGAGUUUCGGAUGAUCGUGGAUGCAAGUCCAGGUCACGAUACGACGAAGUCCGAAGUAGAUCACUGGCUAGCUGGGGAUGAGCCAAACCAAGCACCGAUUGGCAGCUUGGAAAACCCAUUCAAACAAAUCCAGACGUGUGUGAAUGUUCAACACCAACUCCGAGGCUGUCUGCUAUGGUCUUGGUCAACUGGAGGUAGAUUUGCUGACCUACCGAUGAUGAUGGCAACGGUGCUUGCGGACAUGGAUGCCAGAGUGAUCAGAUGGCUGGCAACAAAGUCAUCACAUCUGUGCUGUGCGGACUGGAACAUACCGGGAACGUGUGAGUGUGAGUGACUGGCCAGAACAGUGUUCGUUACGAGUAUAGGCUUACAACAAUGAACUGGUAACGACGGUGUUGGUGAAGGGAACGGCCGAUAUCUCCAACCUAACCUGGCAACCGUACAAAGGUAGCAUCAUGAUAGCCAGCUUGCUUGACGAGUUUAUCAUCGCUCGAUAUCCAGAACCGUUCCAGCAAUGAGUGAUGAUGGUGGAAACAAGGACAGGUGGCAAAUGCCCAGCUGGAAGAUAUGUUAUCACCAACGACCUGGUCCAGAACGGAGAAGGGGCAGCGUGUACGGUUGAUUCAUCCAGGCACUUCACAUUCCCUUGUGGCAUAAACACAUCCACAAGGUUCACCAUGAGUGGACCGCACCAAUCAGCAUCUCUGGGCUGUACUGUCAACCGGUCGAGCAUUACCUCUCAAACAUAUUGCCGGUAAUGGCUGGUCUCGUCCUGCUCGGCUCUCACUGUAUGCUGCUUCUGCUGUGGGCCUGUAUCUCGCUGGCCUCCGUGUCCGUCGCACACUGCAGCUUCCACCUGUCGUUCAUGCCGUCCAACGAGUACCACGACUACCAUCAUGCAAAGUUCAACCACAACUUUGGCAUGCUGGGAAUCUUUGAUUUGCUGCAUGGCACGGACAGUGACUUCCGUAAAUAAAAGUCGUACGAGCGCCAUUCCAUUUGGCACCACCCCAGGCAACGCUCUGAUUCCAGACGAACCGAAGAAAUGGCAGUAAAGAAGUUAAGUCUGCAGUGCAUGUGCAUGUGUGCAUCCUCACUGCUGUUUCUAGUCUCCUCACAGUCCACCCUUGACCGUCCCAUUCUCCAGUUUCAAUGCUAGUCUCCUCCCAGUCCACCCUUGACCGUCCCAUUCUCCAGUUUCAAUGCUAGUAUCAUCACUACUCUACAUGUAUAUGUAUUUUAGCAUAUCCACCAUCAAUACUGGUCACAUGACAAAUUACACUUACCUACCCUCACUACUUCAAGUAUGCCGCUGAUAUUAUUAUUUUUAUUCACAUAGCUAUGGGUUUUUUUGUGGCAAAUUCACUAGUGGCCUAGCUCAGCCCAAUCUGUGUUCUAUAAUGGGUGGUUAUCGACAUCACACUGUUCAAUCCACCAGACUUAUCAGUGUCGACUCUCAUAGCCAAUGUUUUUUUUUGUGCCACAUUCAUUAGUGCCCUAGCUAUGCCCAAUCUAUGUUCUAUCUUCCAGUCUUAUCAGUGACGGCUCUCAUACAUUGCGCGAAAUCGCGCAUCUAUGAGCGACAUCCACAUAAACUGCUGGGACCAUGGUUGUGUACUCGAAUCUCAUUCUGAGCACCCUUUUUUCUU